ACGCUCGACACCUACGGGAGGCAGCAGUGGGGAAUAUUGCACAAUGGGGGAAACCCUGAUGCAGCGACGCCGCGUGAGCGAAGAAGUAUUUCGGUAUGUAAAGCUCUAUCAGCAGGGAAGAUAAUGACGGUACCUGACUAAGAAGCUCCGGCUAAAUACGUACCAGCAGCCGCGGUAAUCUGAGCGGGCUGGCAAGGC
rnacentral:rRNA from 1 species